rnacentral:rRNA from 1 species
CUGGUUGAUCCUGCCAGUAGUCAUAUGCUUGUCUCAAAGAUUAAGCCAUGCAUGUCUAAGUACAAGCCUCACUAAGGUGAAACCGCGAAUGGCUCAUUAAAUCACACCUAAUCUACUGGAUAGUAAACAGUUACUUGGAUAACUGCGGUAAUUCUGGAGCUAAUACAUGCAUGAAGCCCCAACUCACGAAGGGGCGCUUUUAUUAGAUCAAAACCAAACGGCUUCGGCUGUACUCUUGGUGAUUCUGAAUAACUUUGGGCUGAUCGCAUAGCGUUGCGCUGGCGACAUAUCCUUCGAAGGUGUGCCCUCAACUGUCGACUGUGGCAUAGACGCCCACAGUGGUUUUGACGGGUAACGGGGAAUCAGGGUUCGAUUCCGGAGAGGGAGCCUUUUUAACGGCUACCACAUCUAAGGAAGGCAGCAGGCACGCAAAUUACCCAAUGACCGAAGGUCGAGGUAGUGACGAAAAAUAACAAUACCGGACUCUUCCGAGGCCCGGUAAUUGGAAUGAGACGACUUUAAAUCCGUUUACGAGGAUCUAUUGGAGGGCAAGUCUGGU